AGCGCGUAUAAGUCAUAUGAAAUAGACCCGAAACCGAGUGACCUAACCAUGUCCAGGAUGAAGCUUGAGUAAAAUCAAGUGGAGGUCCGAACUCAUAGACGUUAAAAAGUCUCGGGAUGAGGUGUGGAUAGCGGAGAAAUUCCAAUCGAACUCGGAGAUAGCUGGUUCUCCUCGAAAUAGCUUUAGGGCUAGCCUCGAGCUGGAGUCUAACGGAGGUAAAGCACUGAACUGACGCGGGGCCCAAAAAGGUUACCAACUCAUAUCAAACUAAGAAUGCCGUCAAGAUACCCUCGGGAGUCAGUCUGCGUGAGAUAAGUCGCGUGGACAAAAGGGAAAGAGCCCAGACCGACAGCUAAGGUCCCAAAGUACGUGUUAAGUGGAAAAGGAUGUGGGAUUUCAUAGACAACUAGGAUGUUGGCUUAGAAGCAGCCAUACAUUUAAAGAGUGCGUAAUAGCUCACUAGUCGAGAAAACCUGCGCCGAAAAUGUAACGGGGCUAAAACACGACACCGAAGCUACGGAUUUCCUACAAGGUAGGAAGUGGUAGAGGAGCAUCCUGCAAGGACGAAGCCAAAGUGAGAGCGAUGGUGGACGAAACAGGAGAGAGAAUGCCGGAAUGAGUAGCGAGAUACAUGUGAGAAACAUGUAGGCCGAAUAUCUAAGGAUUCCUGGGUAAAGCUAAUCUUCCCAGGGUUAGUCGGGGCCUAAGGCGAGGACGAAAGUCGUAGUCGAUGGAUAACAGGUUGAUAUUCCUGUACUACACAUAAUCAGAACUGUGGGGACGCAGAAGGAUAGGGAAACCGGGGAAUGGAAAGACCCGGUCAAGCGUAAAGCUGUGGGAGAUAGGCAAAUCCGUCUCUUGUAAGUGAAACGUGAUGAGGACUGAAAAAAAGUAAGGAAGUUUCCGAAUCCACACUGCCGAGAAAAGCCGCUAUUGCGUUAUGUGUACCCGUACCGUAAACCGACACAGGUAGAUGAGGAGAAAAUCCACAGGCCGACGGGAGAAGUGUUGUUAAGGAACUCGGCAAAAUGACCCCGUAACUUCGGGAUAAGGGGAGCCUCGCAAGAGGCCGCAGAAAAGAGGCACAAGCAACUGUUUAGCAAAAACAUAGGUCUAUGCGAAACCGUAAGGUGAAGUAUAUGGGCUGACGCCUGCCCGGUGCUGGAAGGUUAAAAGGAGAGGUCAGCGCAAGCGAAGCUUUGAAUUCAAGCCCCAGUAAACGGCGGCCGUAACUAUAACGGUCCUAAGGUAGCGAAAUUCCUUGUCAGGUAAGUUCUGACCCGCACGAAAGGCGUAAUGAUUUGUGCACUGUCUCGACAACACGCCCGGUGAAAUUGAAGAACCAGUGAAGAUACUGGUUACCCGCAACAGGACGGAAAGACCCCAUGGAGCUUUACUGCAGCCUGAUACUGGGAUUCGAUGAUAUAUGUACAGGAUAGGUGGGAGGCUAAGAAGCGAGAACGCUAGUUUUCGUGGAGCCGCCGGUGGGAUACCACUCUUAUGUCAUUGAAUUUCUAACCUGCAUCCGUAAUCCGGGUGAGGGACAAUGUCAGGCGGGCAGUUUGACUGGGGCGGUCGCCUCCUAAAAGGUAACGGAGGCGCUCGAAGGUCACCUCAGAAUGAUUGGAAACCAUUCAAAGAGUGUAAAGGCAAAAGGUGGCUUGACUGCGAGAGCGACGGCUCGAGCAGGUACGAAAGUAGGACUUAGUGAUCCGGUGGUAAUAAGUGGGAAUGCCAUCGCUCAACGGAUAAAAGCUACCCUGGGGAUAACAGGCUUAUCUCCCCCAAGAGUUCACAUCGACGGGGAGGUUUGGCACCUCGAUGUCGGCUCAUCGCAUCCUGGGGCUGAAGUAGGUCCCAAGGGUUGGGCUGUUCGCCCAUUAAAGCGGUACGCGAGCUGGGUUCAGAACGUCGUGAGACAGUUCGGUCCCUAUCCGGCGCAGGCGGAGGAUAUUUGAGAGGAGCUGUCCUUAGUACGAGAGGACCGGGAUGGACGGACCACUGGUGUAUCUGUUGGCUAUCAGAGCCAUGGCAGAGUAGCCAAGUCCGGCAGGGAUAAACGCUGAAGGCAUCUAAGCGUGAAGCCCCCCUCAAGAUGAGAUAUCCCUCAGAAAUGAGUAAGACCCCUUGA
rnacentral:rRNA from 1 species